rfam:Candidatus Buchananbacteria bacterium RIFCSPHIGHO2_01_FTLL_44_11 rifcsphigho2_01_scaffold_1105, whole genome shotgun sequence.
AAUAUCCUUCGGGGUCGGGUGAAAGUCCCAAUCGGUGGUAAAGCCCACGAGCCCAUAGCCGGGCAUGAUCUGGUGUAAUUCCAGAGCCGACCGUAUGCCGAUGUAAAAUCGGCAUCCUGAUUCUAUAUCGGGAAAGUCGGGAUGAAAGAAGGUAAUU